rnacentral:rRNA from 1 species
CACGUAGGGGGCGAGCGUUGUCCGGAUUCAUUGGGCGUAAAGGGCGCGCAGGCGGCCCGGAAAGUCGGAUGUGAAAACUCGAGGCUCAACCUCGAGCGUGCACCCGAUACUGCCGGGCUUGAGGCAGGUAGGGGAGAUCGGAAUUCCUGGUGUAGCGGUGAAAUGCGCAGAUAUCAGGAGGAACACCGGUGGCGAAGGCAGCUCGCUGGGACGGUACUGACGCUGAGGCGCGAAAGCGUGGGGAGCAAACAGG